rnacentral:rRNA from 1 species
CCUACGGGAGGCAGCAGUGGGGAAUAUUGCACAAUGGGGGAAACCCUGCUGCAGCAACGCCGCGUGAAGGAAGACGGUUUUCGGAUUGUAAACUUCUAUCAAUAGGGAAGAAAGAAAUGACGGUACCUAAAUAUGUAGCCUCGGCUAACUACGUGCCAGCAGCCGCGGUAAUACGUAGGGGGCAAGCGUUAUCCGGAAUUACUGGGUGUAAAGGGAGAGUAGGCGGCAAGGUAAGCGAUAUGUGAAAGCCUUAAGCUUAACUUAAGGAUGGCAUAACGAACUAUCUAGCUAGAGUCCAGGAGAGGAAAGCGGAAUUCCUAGUGUAGCGGUGAAAUGCGUAGAUAUUAGGAAGAACACCAGUGGCGAAGGCGACUUUCUGGACUGAAACUGACGCUGAGGCUCGAAAGCGUGGGGAGCGAACAGGAUUAGAUACCCCUGUAGUC